rnacentral:rRNA from 1 species
AUUGAACGCUGGCGGAAUGCUUUACACAUGCAAGUCGAACGAUGAGACCUAGCUUGCUAGGUUGAUUAGUGGCGAACGGGUGAGUAAUGUAUCGGAACGUAUCCAAUAAUGGGGGAUAACUAACCGAAAGGUUAGCUAAUACCGCAUACGCCCUACGGGGGAAAGCAGGGGAUCUUCGGACCUUGCGUUAAUGGAGCGGCCGAUAUCUGAUUAGCUAGUUGGUGAGGUAAAGGCUCACCAAGGCGACGAUCAGUAGCUGGUCUGAGAGGACGACCAGCCACACUGGAACUGAGACACGGUACAGACUCCUACGGGAGGCAGCAGUGGGGAAUUUUGGACAAUGGGCGAAAGCCUGAUCCAGCCAUUCCGCGUGAGUGAAGAAGGCCUUCGGGUUGUAAAGCUCUUUCGCAAGGGAAGAAAACUUACUUUCUAAUAAAGAGUGAGGUUGACGGUACCUUGAUAAGAAGCACCGGCUAACUACGUGCCAGCCGCCGCCGUAA